ACAAAAGAUGUAUGAAGAUGAUGAUAAAAAUAUUAUCCGCCGUCCUCGUAGUUGUUUCCCAACUCGUCGUUGUCCCUGCUUCCUUCCGUUCCUUGUUCCAUUUGUCCGCCUCGUUGAGUAAUUUCGCCGCCUGUAGGAAGUCGGCCUCUUCUGGGUUCCGCGUGGUACUCCAUGAGGCUGCCAGUAGUAGGCAGUCUUUUGGAGCCAAUGCCCACAAUGCCUCCUUGUUUGAAUCAAACCGCGAAAACUCACCUGCCGUCGCGUGGGCCUUAAUGAGGUUCAUUAAGUAUUUCCCCGUAUCUUCCGUGGACUGGGGCCGUCUCAUUUUCUUCAAUUCGUUACCCCUACUACAUGCCCGGCCGUCGUUCCUUGGGUAGCAAAGUUUCAGUGCUUCCAAGAUGUCUUCAAGUGCGGCUGAAGGGUCAAACCUGCACUUGAUAAAUUUGCGGCCGUCAAGUGGAAGCCGCCGUACUAGGGCCUUCGUCCAGACUCCCUUCGGUACCUUGCUCGCCGUCAGCCACGUUUUGAACUCCUCCACGUAGUCUUCGAUAUCUUCCUCCUCCGGGUUGAAACACGGCGUCUCUCCGUAGCCGAUACUUAUGUUUGCGGCUUGAGGUGCUGGGCCGACACUGCUCUCCACCAUGUGAUGAGGCUGAAGUGGGGAUGUAAAGCUCAUUUUAUUGAUAGGCUGCAGUACAUUGUCCUGGUGGGCUAUGGUCACCAUGGCCCGUUCCAGGGCUGGGUUUGUGGUCCGGUCCCGGAGGGUUGUUGGGGUCCGAUUCUCAGCGGUGUAGCCGUUGGGAGGGUUAUAUCUGUGACAGGACAUCUUUCUUUCGCCGGGCAAGAAAAAAAACGAAAAAAAAAAUAAAUAAAUAGCACGAAGGUCAAACGAUAACUGGCACGUUGUAUUUUGUAAGCAUUCCGCGAAAACGGUGGUCUGUGGUCAAAUACAACUUGUACCUGUUAUCUCUGUGGUGCCGUUUCACUGAUAAAUAAUUAAAAAAAAAAAUUAAAAUAAUUUCGCAGCGGUCACGUGUAUUUCCGGUCGGUUGCUUGUUGACACACAACAUCAUCCUCUCCUCUUCGAAAGAGCGGAACUCUUCAUAUGUCCAAUCUUGUAGGUGGCUUCUGAAUCCUACUAGAUCUCCGGAGGGGAUUCACUGGAUCUGGUGGUGUAAUAGUCUGGGGACUCUGGACUGGUUCGGUAGAAGACUGUGGCUCCGAUGUCAUUUCCUGGCGUUGUGGAAUCGGUUCCUCUGGUUCGGUGUUUUUAUCAGGCUCGGAGACUCCGGCGUGGUCUUCAGUAGAUUCACUUCUCUUCUCAGGAAUGCGAGAUCUCCGUAUUUGGUUCCAAUGUCUUCUAACUUGUCCUUUGGCUGUUUCCCGUAGUGCCUUGAAUGCUAGCUUGGUCCCAUUUUGGUCCUGAUUUGUAGGUUCGAUACCAUACAGACUCUCCUACCUUAAAACCUGGUUUGUCUGAUUUACCAGGAUUUGGUAAGAUCAAAUGCAAACGACUCCGAAUGUUAUGGCCAAACAUCAUUUCGGAGGGAGACUGGCUAUGGGGGUCCUUCUAUAGCCCAAAAGUAUCUCAGCUAGGUGACAACUUCCCAAAGAUCUUCCUUUUGCAAGAGCAUUUCAAUUUUAAAAGACCAUAGUGAGUAGUUAUAGCCGUCAAGCUUAUCUAGGGUUACAUCGUGGCUCGGGAGUGAUGCCAAUUUUUGCUAAGCCUUUUUUUCUUUGUUUUAACUCGUUAGUUGAAUUUCAUGCAAUAUUCAGUCUCAUAAUCUGAUUGUUGUAAGAUUUAGGUACUUACAGCUUGUAUGAAGGCAUGAUGACGUUGAUGAUUAUAUAAUAAUAACCUUUAUUAUUCAUUUAGUAAAAGAAAGUUAUAGUAGCGAACACAUUUACAGUAUAGAGAAGUAAACAAACUGUAGUGAUGAUGAUAAGGCCAGUGUGGCACUAGCUGUAGUCAUAGCAUUGUUUCCAACAUUAAUAAAUGAGGCAAUUAUAAUUAUUAGUUACAUAACUUUUACAGGGCACAUCACAUUGUUACAACAAACAACACAAUCACAUACCAAUUGAUGAUGAUCUCAAUUCUUAUUCAUAGAACACAUUAUAUAACACCUCCCCCUUAAGCUAAAGGGUUAGUCUCACGGGCGGUUUGUAAGAAAAUCAGAGGUUGGAUCUCAGAAAGUAUGUUUAAUUAUCAAUUAUAUAUAUUAAGAUGACAAGGAACAAAGAGAGUUAAAAAGGUAAGCACAGAGGCAGUCAACAAGCAAAUCUGUAAUAUUAUACAGGCCGGAGUGUGGCGCCAGGUCACGUGAUGUCUGGGGGAAGCUGGCGUUUGUUGCUAAGCGAGUCACUUUCCAAUACUCCCACCUGACGAGCACUUUGUUGUUUCAAACAGUCCAAGUUGGCUUCUUAGUCUUCUAUACCUUUCUGGAGGUAGAGCUUUCGUAAAUAUGUCUGCAGCUUGAUCAUUGGAGCAGACAUAAAGAAGGUCAAUUGCAUGGUUUUGAAAAUGAUCUCUGAUAAAGUGAUACGAAAUAUCAAUAUGUUUAGUUCUUUUGUGGUAUUCUGGGUUGUGAACAAGUCUUAUGCAGCUUUGAUUGUCGCAAAAAAUUGUUGUAGGCUUUACUUGUUCUUGAUGUAGCUCGCGUAGAAGUUGUCUCAGCAGAAAAGGCACAGCUAUCAUCUCUGGCUGAAGAACCUGGCUGUUGUCCUUUUUGUUCUUCCUUUCUUUUAUAGCAUUCUUUCCACCAAUGUCCUUUUUUCUUGCAAUAACCACAGUGUGUGUUCUUCUUUUUAUCUUUAAUGGAUUGUUGAUGCUGCUGUUGUUUGUUGGAAACUGUUGAAGAUAUUUAAACUCUAGAGCAGUAGUGAUCAGCAUUUUGGAUUUUGCAUCUUUCUUUUUCCAGUUAGAGAAUUUUGCAAUAUCCUCUAUUUCAGGUUUUACUUCAGAGCCAUCAGUUAUACUGAGAAGAUCUUUUGCUUCUAGAAUAAUCUUCAUUUGAAAUUUCCAUAGAUGAAAAUUAUCGCCGUUGAAUUUUUGAAUUUGUGGAAGUUCAGUUGUCAUCUUGAGCAAGCAAACGAAUUUCAGCUUAGAUAAACAAAAAUAUUUGAUACCAACCACGCUCUGCUACCAUGUAAGAAAAUCAGAGGUUGGAUCUCAGAAAGUAUAUUUAAUUAUCAAUUAUAUAUAUUAAGAUGACAAGGAACAAAGAGAGUUAAAAAGGUAAGCACAGAGGCAGUCAACAAGCAAAUCUGUAAUAUUAUACAGGUAAUAUUAUACAGGCCGGAGUGUGGCGCCAGGUCACGUGAUGUCUGGGGGAAGCUGGCGUUUGUUGCUAAGCGAGUCACUUUCCAAUACGGUUUCACCACUCUGCCAGUCCUUGUAAUGUAGGGCCUUGAAGUUCCUCCUGCAGUUACACUCGUUGUCAGAGUUUUCCAGGCCUGAGAGGAAGUUCUCAGUGAGAGAGCAUUCAGGGGUAUCAGCUGAGAUGUUAAAAACCGUGAAUCUCUGGAGGAAAGUUGGCGGGGGGAUAAGUUUGAGUUUUAAUUCAGAAGCUAGGGUAGAGACUUUAGUAAUCAGGGUGGCUAGGUCUUCUUUGUUUUUAGUGUGGAGGGUAAUUUUUGAGUUUGUUGCACUAACAUAAAGAAUGGGGACACCUAGGGAGCGUAAGGGGAGACGAGAACCAAGGCGGGAACCUAUAGGAGUCGGGACUUCUGCAUCCUGAGUUAGGGUGAUGUGAUAAGGGUUGUUGCGAGGGGGAAUGGGGCGGAUAUUGGUUGGCCUAGGGUUAAUCUUAGCUGCAAUGGGUUCAGGUGUGGGCUGGUUAGGGGUGGUAGAGGUAUGGGGUGUGUGGGUCAUGGAAACAGGAUGAUCAGAGGGAGUGUUAGCAACAACUGUGGUAGUAGGUGUUACAGGGGUAGUGGGUAGGGUGCACAUAUUAGUAGUGGGGGGGAGGUGGGUAGAGGGAUUUGGUUGGGCAGCUAAAAACAGUGAGGAUGAGAAUUCUAACUCAUGGAUCCUACGGGUGUAGGAAUCUCUUAGGGUGGCUAGAAUUUUGUCGAGGUGUGACAUAACAAAUGCGCCUAGAUUGCUGUAUGUGUCACUGAUAUGGUGACACAGCAUUGUACAGUUGUUAGCUGCCCAAUCAAAUGCCUGAUACAUGAUGUCGUGUUAGAGGUAAUAGAGUAGGGCAAGGAGGGUGGAGGUGAGGUCAAUGUAAAGUCACGCGGUGACAAGUUAAGGUCCUGUUUUGGGCUUGAGUUUGAUGUGGCUGAUGGGGGAUGGAGAGGGGUGGAAGCACUUACCCCAGGCCGGCUGCUAUGGAUGAGGUCACCACCAAUUGUUGGAUCCAGUAGAGAGUCGAACAUCUUGGUGAGGACCUCCUUGUAGUCGGAGUUGGGAGAAGAGGAGUCUUGGGAGGAAGCCUGAGAGCCCACCGGUGAGAAGGAGGCGUUGGAGGGGGGGGGGGGGGGGGGGGGGGCGGAGGUGUAGUCCCUGGUGCAAGCGCUGGGAUGGAGGUGCGGAUCUGAGCGGGCUUUUUGUUAGCAGUCUGGCGGCAGGUGGGCCCCCAACCAGUAGCAGGGAUUUUGGUGAGGAAAUGUUUUCCAAUCAGCCUCUCUGAUGAUCCAGAUGCACUUGGCUGUUCAUCCAAAAUUUCUGUACCUGCUUCUUCCAUCAACCUUUCAAUGAUAGCCAAAUGAUAUUCUCUAAGUGGCAUUUUUCGACCCGUGGUCAAUUUAUUAUAUACAAUAUGGCUAUUGACAAUAGUGAGGCCGAAAAUGUGGAAGAAAAGCUUUCUCCACCACUUUAGAGUACUUCAAUAGAUUGGAUGUUUUCCAAAGUUUUCUCUUCUGCCAUGUCGUGGUAGAUUCUGUAGUAGUUUCCUGCCUGUGUGAUUAAUUUAGGAUCCACAAUGGAGAGGGAAAGCUCUAGCAGAUAGCUGCAAGUUGAGCACUUUUCUUUCUCUUAAAGUUUUGGUGGAGUGCUUUUUUUCUCUUCUGUGUUGUUAGGGAAACAGAGUUUUUGUUGUCGUGGGCAACCUGUCUCUUUGUGUGGGAAGACAAAAAGGAUAACACCCUGGAAUGCACAUCUGGUCCUCUCUGGAUUCUACCGCUGUGCCGCCCUCACGCAGCGGUCCCGACACGAUGGGUCUUGUUGCAGUAGGGUGUUCUGAAGUUACAUUGUCCGAAUCUGCCAGUAAGUAAGCAGGUCGCAAUCGAUGUGGUCACAUUUCUUCCUUUCACUUUAAGUGUGUACAUGUGAAUGUACAUGUGAUUAGAGGUAGACCGGCUAGAGUUCCCCUAUUCCCUGCUUCCCCGCACCUGAAGCACUUAAUGGGUGUCCGCGUUGUGUCGGGGCCUUCAUACCCCCUAAGCGUUCCUCCCUUGGUUGCCGCUGGAGGGCCUUCCUUGCGCUGCUCUUGUGGGGCUCUACCAUUGGGGUUCUGUUGGGGUCCCUCCUGCCUGGCCCCCUGUAUAAUGGGCUGGUUGUUUUGAGCGGAACCUCCUCUCCGCUGGAAACCUCUGGUCUGGUUGUUGUUCCACCUGUUUCCAAUAUUCACCCUGGGUUGCUCCCUGUGGGUCCUCCUCAAGUUUUGGUUUUCAGUCUCCAGGUUCUUUAGCUUGGAUUCCAGUCGGGCCAUCUGGCUUGUUAACUCCCUCAACUUCCUGGCACUCCCCUCUUCAUCUUCCAGUUGGCAUCUGGAGUACUCAUCCCUUUCUUCGAUCUGAUGGAGACUUCUCACAAUCACCUCCCAUGACUCAUUCUGGAGUUGAUGGGCUCUGCCACAGGUUUGGACAGGUUGUUCCGGUGGGAAAUAAUGCGCAGUAGGUUGGCCGUGGUAGGCCUGUUGCCUGUAGGGUCGUCUGUUCAUGGAACAUUCACUGUUCCAGUGGUCACCUUGGCACUAUUUGCAUGGUGAGGGUGGUCUCCUGGCACCAGAAGGGUAUCUUGGAGUAUUGUUUGUUGAGAAAGGAUUGUAGUUCCUUCCCCUAGAAGGAGUUCCGGUAUCACGGUGAAAGGCACUGGUGUUGGUAACACUUUGAAAUGGUUCGGAUGGAGUAGAGAGUGAAUUGGUCCCUUUUAUUCUAGUCAUGGUAGAGUACCAUUCGGUCAGGGUUUUAGGGGCUAUGGCCCUCAUGAGGCGCUGAUCACUGGCCUGGAGGCCUUCCGUUAAUGCUUCCACUAUGAUAGGAUUGGUUAGGCCCAGUUGUAAUACCAUAGUUAUUUUUUGGCGGUAAUAGUCUCCUAAUUGGAUCUGACUAGUUAAUUUAAAAGUUAAAAAUUUGGUGAAAGUGACCUCGGAUUUUCUGGGGUAGAGGUCCAUGAGAGUUUGUUUUGCCUGGCUGUAUGGCAGAGAGGCCAGAUUCAGUUCGUUGUAGAGGGAGAGGGGUUCACCUUUGAGUAGCGUGCGGAGCCGGGCUUGCAGGGUGGCGUCAUCUUGCGGUCCCUCGCUCGUCCGCUCGAGUUGCUGGAUGAAGUUGCUUGCUGCGUAGGAUCCGUCGAAAGGAGAGAUGAGGGCUUCCUCCGCACGAGGCACUGCUAUUCCCCGAAUGGCGUCUGUUAGGCGGCUUACUAGGUCUUCGCAGUGGGGUUGCAUGUUGGUGAGGGCAUCCCCGAAGUAUUCGUCUCUGACCUCCGUCAUCCUCUGCAUGUUGUUGUCCUCAGUUAUCCUGUCGACUUAAACGGGUUCUGUAGUAACCCCGACCAAGCCGACGUGGAAUGUACUGGGCAGUCGUGGUCGUGGGUGCGUGAUGGGAUUCCCGCACGGGGACAGCAAGGAAAAGAGGCAGGUCUAGAUGGUAGCUCCAAGAGGUAGAGAUAGACCACGGACGAAGGCAGUCGGACCACGGGCGCCGCGGAUGCCCUAAGCCUACUCGCGGAAAGAAGGGGUGAGAGAUCCGACCGACCGUAUAACGGCGUCACUCUUACUGUAUAUAUAUAGACAUUAGAUGUUUUAUGCAAACUUACCAACUCCUUACAUUCUAUCUACAACACGAUAUAAUAUAAAAUCUGUAAUCGAAAUUGAUUCCACCUUUUUAACUUGUUUGAUGCUAUUAAUAGCUAUUCGGAACCGCGCUUUGCUGGCCGCGAAAGAAGCUGUAGACUCAUCAACUUCACGUCCUUUAGCACGGUCCCACUCCAAAAAAACUAUAUGGUCUUCUUUUGUACAUUUAUUUUUUCUUGCAUCCACCCAUUUUAUUUUGAAUAUGUUGUUACUUAUCCACUUUAAAUUUUCUUGGAAAGUCCCUUUAUUUAGGUGUUUCUUUAGAAAAUCAUUGUAUAACAAUGGUUUCGGGCCUAUUCUGGGAGGAGGAGCGUAGGAUGCUCUUUGUAGCAUCUAUAUGUGUUCUUUGUGACUUACAUAUCUUGGUUUUGUGGUGUGUCGAUUUAUUAGUCCAGCGAUGGCUCAGAAAGUCUCUCAAAGUUAGUGUUUUCAGAGUUGCUAUUUCAUCAGUGGUGUUAUAUUGCUCUAGAUCAUGAUUAGAUUUAAAUUGUCUGCGGAAUUUCUGUGAAAGCAAGGGUAAAUUAAUUAUCUUGUAUAUGAGAACCUCUCCCUUCAUUUUCUCAGCCCUUGCAAUCUUUACCAUUAUGAUUCUAUUUGUCUCUCCUGUCCUUAUAAUAGUAUAAAUGUUCUGGCAUAAGCGAUAUGAUAUUCCCACCACCCUUGUCUAUAAUAAUACGAUUAUAAAAGAUUAUAUGACGAUUAAUAUAUAGAGAUAAUAGUUCCUCCAAGGAUAGGUUCAGGUUAUAUAGUUUAUAAUUUCUUCGAGGAACAAUUGUUCUGUCCAGAUCACUCGAGAGUGACACUGAGGGCAUUCCCAAGGACAAAGUUAGUGUUGACGAUAGGCCUGAUCUCCCCAAAACCAACUGUUGAAAAGCUCUCUCUGCCUGAGAAGCAUCUGAUGCGUCUGCUGAGAGUUCUUUGGCUGUCUUUUCGAUUCCCCACAGGGCAAGGAGGAAACGAAAGGGUCCAUCAGCAGACAGUCUGAGGCCAAGGAAGUAUCUCCAGCUUAUUACAGGCAAUUUAAGUGUGUCUCUUGCCAUUGCAUUGUCACAGGCACCAAAGACUGCCACUAUGUCGUACAUCCUGCUUGGAGUGAUCAUCCAGGGAGGAGUGUAGAUGUUCAUGUUCCUUGAGAGUUUUCCUCUUAAAAGAGUGAAGCCUGGAACACCGGACAUACUAUUGACCAUGGCUUUGAUAUUUUCCUUUCCUCUCACAUUUAGGCCGAUGGCAUAGAUUCCCCUCUGGAAGACUUUGAAUUGAGCCCAUUUCAAAUUGCAGAGUUUGAUGGCUGUGAAGUAAGAUAGCCAAAGUGGGUCAAUGUUGGUUUUUUGGGACUCAUACCCAGCACCCUUUUCGCCUUCCCCUAUUUGACCAUUUUGGAACAGUCCAACCUCAUGCAAGACUCUAUUCCAUAGUCCAGCAUUUGCAUGAUCAGGGUUUGCAUCUAGCCAGGUGGUCAUGCUAGCCUUUGCCUCCUCAAACUUUGCUAAGUCUUUUUGGGAGUAGGCGCAAAAUGCAGAGCUUAGAAGCAAGGCAUUUUGAUUUGGGACUGCGACUCCUUCCAGAUCGAAAGUUCCCCCUGACUUCCUUUCUGUGAGGACACCCCCUUGAAUUGAACAAUGAUGGUGUCCCCCCCAUUGUUUUGCAUUAAAAAUGUAUUCCACAUAUUUCAAGUGAGAAGACCCAAGCCCUACUGCAGAUUUAGUUAGCCGUCUGGCCCUUUUAUUUAUCAUGUCCACAAGCAUUACCUGCAGCUCUGCUGAACAGCCUCUAGUGUCAAUCACAGCAUGGCAAUCACUUGUCCCUCUGGAAAGUCUGGGAUCAAGUCUCUGAACUUUUUCACACAUCUGACGUAGGUAUCACUUUCCACCUUGCUAUCACAAGCAACAUUCUCAGCCAUGUAUUUAUUGUAGUAAUUGGUUGCUAGAGAUCUGGCAUCCGCGUCUCCAUUGAAGAAUUUUUCUGCUAUGUCGAAAAUUUUCUUAGACAUACAGAAGACCUGUCCUCUUUGAGGGGCUGAUAGUCUGAGGAUAUCUUCAAUGAGUGAUGAUCCAAUUGCAUCGACCUCUGCCGGAUUGGUUAAUCCUUUAUCAGUGCCCAACCACAACUUGCCGACGUCAAACGCGCUCGGCGAAUAGGUUAGGGUGAAUGGUUGUCCGUAUUUUCUCUCCACAGAUCCAUCGUCGUAAUUGUACGACGCGAACUGGUACUGGUCGGUAAAUCCACUAAUGGUGUAUGGGACUAUGGCCGCACACACACGUCCGGAGUACACGUAUGAACGUGACUCAUAUUCGAUCUUAGCGGUCAGUGAGUGAAGUCUAAACUGACGGUAAGACACAAAGGUGGCAGACACAGGUGGAUCAGUGUACGGGCUCAGAGCUCGCACUAUGUUGGCACUGUCCAUCAAUAUUGUUUCGGGGGCUAUUUCGUAGGAAAACACAGACGCAAUUGGCAAAAAUUGUGCUGGUACGGGGUCUGCUUCACUAGUGAUAGCUCCAGGGGUCACUUUAGUUAUGAAAAUUUUGCCCAGCAUCACGGCGGCGUAUCCCACAAGGUGGCCAAGGGUAGUCCACCAAUUCCCGGUUGCGUCCGAUGCUUUCACGGCGGCUGGUAAGUAUGGUGCUAGAAGAAAGCGGGCGCGUUCGAGAAACGAGAUUGUGCCGAGUCGGUGAAGCUCGGGGCAUCCACGACGCUGACGUCCACGACGUCUUCGUCGCUGUCCUGUCCGACGGUUGAACUGUCGGAAUAGUUGAGACCGAUUGGUCUGGCGUUUGCGAGCCAUAUUUAGGCAGAAGGAUUAUAGCUACAAGAGCUAGUAGCAGGAAAAUCAUCCACUACUUAAAAUCGUAGAAUCGUAGAAGGUAGUGGAUCUGCAACAGAAGACUUGUUUCGACAGGUGACCUCGUAGACCUUUUCCUGUUCAGACUUUUUAAUCAGAGUUUUCAGGUAGGAGUCUUGGAAGGCCUGCCCAAAGCCUUGCUAUGAUUUGUUCCCUAGCAACUGUGGGGUGGCUGAUUUCUUUGGGUGUCUUGUCAGUGUUUGAGAGCUUGAUUGUUAUGUUUCCCAGUGUUGGGUUGUAGACCCACUGAAUACCGAUCCUUUUUGAGAGGUGUCGAGAAGUGUUUUUGGCAUCACUGCAGAGUGAAGUGAUGUCUCCACCAACCCUGGCAAAAUCACUGUCAAGUUUCCCCGACAGAUACCCUGCCAGCUCCUCUUCCAGUGCAAGCCGUCCCAGCUUCCUCUCCGCAACUCUUUUAAGAAGGCUUUUGGUGAGUGUGGAGGUUUCAGAGUCUGGGCUCGUGAGGAGCCGGAAGGCGUGUUGGAUCUUGGCCAAGUCGGUCUUGUCACCAAACGGCACCAUUCCUGCUCUGCCUUUGGAAGGAGGGAUGAAGAGCACCUCGUUGCUGGCCUGCGGAGGCAGGCCAUUUCUUCCCUUGAAGAGGUGCGCACUUGGAGCCCUUGAAGUGAAGUCCGAUCUUCCCCGCCAGAUCACUGGUGGUGUCCAGGAGUCCAUGGAGAGACUCCUUGGCCUACUAAUAUACUGACCACGUUGGUACUCUAGCACUUUGUUAGACUCUGUUUGAGCACCAGUAACUGCAAAAAUUGAUUGGUCUGAACCCUUCUAUAUUUGUUUGCAGAUAUAUUUUAUAGCAGAGAUUGAAGCAUAGGACUCAACAUUGAUGUGAGCAUCAAAUAGUCUGCAUAGAAGAGGUGGCACAACAUUACCUAUAGUUACAUUGGUCAUGCCCACAACACCAUUCUCAAUAGUGAAACCUCUUACUCAUUUAACUAAAGAAAAGCCGUCUUCCUCAGGCUUGCGACGUCUAUAUACAGUCUAGCCAUAAAUUCUGUUACAAUUAUAUAAAUUAAAUGAUCAAAAACUAAUGGAAUAUAAAUACAUUUUUUAUUAGCCAAUAGGAUUUUAAAUAUAUACAAUCAUUCCAAAUAUCCUCCCUUAUUUUUGACACAGGAUCUCAAACUUUUGGGCCACUGAUCUAUGGCGGCAUGCACCUUUUCUAAGGGUAUUUCUUUCAUUGCUCUCACCAAUGCUGAUUUCAAUUGAUCCAAAAUAUGAUCUCCAACCAUGUUGAGUUGACUUAGCUUUGUGAGCAGGAGCUGAAUCUUGUUGAAAUAUCCAAUGUUCUCCAUUAAACAUUUUUGUAUUCAGAGGCUUUACUAUUUGUUCCAAAAUAUCUUCUUGAUAGACCUCUUUGGCACAGAAGUGGAGAUGGAAACCUUCCACAGUAGAAGUUGGUUUCAUGGCUCUUUGUAAUCUAUCAGAAAUUGAUAUACAAGGUGUGUCCAAUAAAUAAUGAGACUGGUCAAAAAUAAAGAAAAAAUUGAAUGAUUAAAAAAAAUUAUUAGUAUUUUUCAAAUUAGUCCCCUCCCGCAUCUAUACAUAAUUUCCAUCUCUUCUCUCAUGAUUUAAAACAUUUAGAAAUGGCAUCUUUCGGGAUGUUCUUCAAGACCUUUUUCGAAUCCACUAUGUUGGACUCUCUAGUGUCAAAUCUCCUUCCUUUUAGAGCCAUUUUGAGUUUUGGAAAGAGAAAAAAAUCAUUUGGAGCUAGGACUGAGGAAUAGGGAGGUUGUUGAAGUAUUUGGAUGCCGUGUUUAGCCAAAUAAGUCAGUACAGAUGUAGCGGUGUGUGGUGGUGCAUUAUCAUGAUGGAUAAUCCAAUUUUUGGAACUCCACAUUUUACUUCUUUUCAGAAGAAUUGAUUCACGUACACAUCUCAUAAUGUUUAAAUAAGACUCAUUGAUUAUAUAAAAGGGCGUACCUGGAUCUGUAAAGAAAAAAAAAAUUCUC